GCCGCGCUGGGUUGUGCGGGGGCUCGGGGCUCGCUGCGGGUCUCGGGGGCGGCAGGGGGCUCAGGCGGGUUGGUUGUGCCGUGUCCGGCCCGUGUUGCCCCUGGGCUGAGGGCGCUGCGGGAGCGGCUGCCCGCGGUCUCCUUCCCGCCGCUGCCUCGGCAGGAGCCGCUGCCGGAGCGGCGCUGGCUCGGCCCGGUUCCUGUGGCUGGGACAGAGGGGGCUGCCCCGCCGCCGGGGCUGUGCGGGGAAAUUCACGUCGGCGGAGGUUUCUGUGCCCGGAGGAGGCAGAGGAGUCCUGUAAAAGUGACUUUAUUGCUGAGCGGAGGGAGAGGCCGUGGGGCAUUUGCCGUGCGGUCUCUGCCAUUGUUGGAGUUCGCAGCCUACUUUUUAUUCUCAUUUUCCCGGCCUUAUUUCCCUCUCCCUGUGCCCACUGGCUGAGGUGCUUGGAAGGUUCAGACUUCCCGAUCCGCCUGCUGUAUGUCCUCGUUAAUGUGCACCCCCACUUUUGUUUAACAUCCGAUAUUCACGGGCUCUGUUAAGUCCUUGUUCUUCUCGAAGUUCAGGAAUCUAGCGGGACUUUGAGCAGGUGUCCGUGUAAAUUUGUAACAUUUUCUGGAACUGAUGGUUUCUCCCGUUACUUCCUUAUCUACAAGUCCCUGGCCCUAUCUCCAAACAGAUUCACUAAUUGACUCUGUUUUUUCUUCCUGGGUCCUCUUUGAUUUUGGGAUUAUUCUCAGUGCCCUCCUUCCCUGUCCUUCUGUAGCCGUUUCUGGAUCAGGAGGCCUGGCUGCCACCUGCACCCCCUGGCUCACCUGCUGAAUGAGCUGCACUCUCAAGGUGUGGAGCAUGGUAAAAAGAUGAGAGUUACUGUAGCACAUAAGAGGAGAAACUGUGUUCGUUUAACCCAUGGUCUGCCAGGGAGCCACAAAACUGUGUUCCAUACCCAUCCUUUCCAUGUUUGGACUGGUACAUGAGCUACUUUCUUGUUUCAUUUGUUAUCUGUUUCCCCACUUUUCCUUUGUCAUCUAUUUGCCAACAGCAGUUUAAGACAUUUAAUUUUCCAGAAACUCCACCUUUUUCUGCUAACAGAUGAUCUGAUCCCAUCCCCUGGUGAAAUGUUGUGUUCCUCAUUUCAGUGGAUUGGUCAGCAGGAAGGUCAGGAGCUGGAGCUGUCUGGUUGGUUAUUAUUUUGAGGACAGCUUGUAAUCUAAUGAUGCCAUUGAAAUGAGAAAUGGGUUCUGUGGCUCCUGAUUUGAAUUGGUUCAGGUUCCCAGGGGCUGGUCCAUGCUGUUGUAGGAUUUGUUCUGGUGGCUGUUGCUGUUUUCCCCAUUUUUGGGCACUCCCUCAGGAGCCAGGACUGCAUCAAUUGACUGCUUUUCUGUAAUUCAAACAUCACAUUCUUGGAUUCCUAACUGAUUUUCCUAAGUAACCGAAAAACACAAAAGACCCCCACCAAAUCCAAAAAUAAACUGAUCUAAUACACCCUAUAUAACACAGACAAUGACAGCAGGUGUUGCAGUGGGCAGAGGGAUGAUUCACCCCCAGCUUUUUUAAGUGUAGUUUUCAGAACUGUCCUAGGGUGACUGUUAUCCCCAUUCGUGUGUGUGUGUAAUUUACGCUGGAUAUUAUGUUCUGUGCCUUUAAGACUGGUGGAGUGUCAUGGUCUGAGCCUGGCGAAAUGCCAGUGCUUCCAUGAGAAAACCUCUUUUCCUGGUAUCUACUGUGAGAUGUGAUCAGAGACAGAGAAGAGCAGGCUCUAACUUAUGAUUGAAAGGAAAAAAACUUUAUUAACAUAAAACUACAGGGAAAAAACACACAGAACACGGGAUGAAAACCUUCCAAAUUUCCUCCUCCUCCCCCCACCAAAUUUCUUAAUUCCGUUGCCACCCUUUGGAUAAUCAAUUCUCAGUUCUUUGAGAAGAGAGGAGUCCCUCUUGCACUACAGACUUCACCCAGGAAACAGUCGAAACUUCUCGUGUCUCUGUGUCACGUGUGGCACCGCCCGGAGAACAUUUUGCCAUCGUGACCUCUUCCUUCCAUGUCCAGUGCUCUCACCACUGCACAUGGACCAGAGCUGCUUCUAGGGUUUUUCCCUUUAAGGAUGCUUUGUCCAGUUCCAAAAAAGAGCACAGUCCCUCUCCUUUUGGGACACCUGUCCCCCCCAUGUUUCACCCCCUGGGGCUGAGGGGUCUCUCGAACAGAGAUCAUCUUCCUCUUCUUCUUCAUCGAAGACGGAGGGCACCACCACCACCCUCCUCACCCGUCGUCUCUGUUCACACACUUUCACAUCACUGCACUUUCUUGGCUCUGAGCCAUUGCCUCCCCCUAGGAUGCAGUCUCUGUGUCACAGGAACUCAAGGGUUCUGUCCAUAGCUAUCCAAGAAAAGUCCAGCCAAAAGCCACUCCAUCAUCUCCUCCCACCUAGGAUUCUUCUCAACUUCUCUCAAUCUCACCAACUCCAGGAGGAAUCAGCAUUUGCAAGGUUUCCAUCGUCCCAAGAAGGGUUAAAAGUCCCAGGCUCUGCCGGUUUGGUUCAUGAACUCCCACGGCUGGCUGCCCUGCUGGGCACCCCCCCCUUCUCCUUCACUCCAGCCGCGCUAUCACAGGCACAGGCUGCUCUCUCUCUCUCCCUCCGGGGGGGGGAAUGGGGGAUGGCUGCCCGAAGCCCUCGCAGUGCAAUGCUCCUCCACCCUUCGGCCCAGGCCUGGCCUACCUCCCUCCGGCCGCAUGGCUCCCCUCCCCCCUGCCCAGCUCGGAGCUGGACAGGGGAGAGGUCUCCUCUGGUCCAGGGCCGGAACUCAAAAGGAACUUCCAGUGGGAGUUCACAGCUUUUAACCCCUGUGUUCUCAGAGGCGUAUCCAUGCCCUCAAUGGACAAACCAGGUGCCAAUAUUAAAAUCUGGACACCGAUUGGCGUGACCACACCAUCCCAAAAAAACCAUUUCCUCUCAAACCACGACAUGGAGUGAAGGUUUUGUUUUGGCCUCUUAUCAGCCACUCGGCGGGAUAUCCAGAUUGCACCAGUGCAUGUUGCUGCUUUUUGCUUCUUGCCCCUGCUUUUUUGCUUCUGCUUCGCUUCUGCUUUGCUUGCUCUUGCUUCCCCCCCCCCGUCCCUUCAUUAGUUAAUUUAGCUAAACAGUCCAAACUCCUUUCUGGACUGUUCCCCCCACCCCGUUGGACCUGCUGACUGCUCCGGACUGGGAUUUGGAGCACGGAGAGAGAGUUUGCACCUUGUGACUGCAGCAGCUGCCUCAGCGCCGGAGGGACUGAUAACAGAGCAAACCCCCAGGAGAGACUUUCUGAAUUUGUCAUCUUUGUCAGAGCAGUGGAAGAGUGGUGUCACCCGGUUUUGUUCAUUGUGUGUGCUGGGGGGUGCUGUGCCUGUUAAAUAAACAGGUUCUUUCCACCUCUCUCCGAGGAAUUCUUCCCGAACCGGUUGGGGGGAGGGGCUGUGUGGGUUUGUUUUAUGGAGAAGCCCUUUUUGGGGAUUCUCUCCCAAAUGUGCCCUAAACCAGGACACCUUUCCCUAUUAUUGUUGAUUUUAGCUUCCACUCUCCUUCCCUGCUUUUGGGUACUACCAUACUUUUUCUUGAUGUAAUCCAUUUUAAAAUGUCUAGGGGACCUAAACUGAUACCAUCCCAAUGCCAAAUUUCACUUAAGUGUGUCCCCCCCCCACACCCAACAAUCAGUCAGAUUAAAUUCUUUCAUAAUCUUUUCCACCAUAUUGAUAAAAAGAUUCUUUCCAUAUAUUUGUCCCUCUCUAUCCGUUUGCCUUUUCACUGGCAAGGAGAAAGAAGUUGCACUUCUUUCUCUUUGAAUGUAUCCUCUAAGUUGGUUUCACUUUCUUGUUCAAAACUUACCCAUCUUUCUUUCACAGGGCACUCUCAUGACAUCUCCUAGCUGGGGUUUGCAAUAGUUUUAGCCAGCUGUGAAAAAUGCAUAUUUUAUGAUUGGCUUUUUGCAAAUAUUAAAAUGAAUAUUAUGUGUUAUGUUAGGAAGUUAUGCAGUAUUAAUUUUCUUCAGUAGUGUGUUAAAUAUAGUUCUAGGUUAAAACAUAAUGUUAAAAUAGAAACGAUGUGUGUGGGCUAUUUUUUUAAAGAAAGGAACGAGGUAUUUCCACCGAGAUAGCAGCCACAGGACACCUAAAUCUUUCAGAGACAGAGAAUUUAUUGCUCCAUUAUCACAAGAAACAAUCUUCUUCCUGUCUUGCUCCACUCUGAAGAUGCCAUCAGGAUUCAGAGGAAGCAGCUGACACUGACCAGACAGAAUCCUGUGUUUGAAUGGAAUUUAUGCAUCAUGUAUGAAAUCUAUGAAUAUGCAACAGGCUUUUGUUUUUUGCAAGUAAUCCUCUGUUAAUGUGUGUCCUUUUUUUGGCUUAUUUUGCCCAGAAAGAGGUCCCUGGACCUUACAUAACUCUUUGUUCUUAUUGUCUUGUAUUGUCCUAAAACCUAAUUGUCAAAGUAUUUAUUGCUCUAAAUAUAUUACUAUUUUUAUAACCAUUUUAUGAUUAUUAAACUUUUAAAUUUUUAAAAACAAGUGAUUGGCAUUCUUUACACCACCCAAUAUAUUUUAUUAUCCUCUUUACAGGCUGUUAGCUGGGAGUGAUGGAUACAUUUGGGAUUCAUGUUUGUGUAUACUCUGAUUAAUGCACUUACUGUAUCUCCUCUAUCCAAGGGACAGUAACACUUCUCACAAGCGUUUCCUCCACUUCCUUUGCAGUCAGUGAGUAGCAGCACUGCUACCAGUGGCAGUCUGGUACGGACUGGCCUCCUCACCUCUGAUCCACAGGGGUUUUCUUGGUGCCCUGAGAGUUUUUCCCAGAUGGAGUUCCCGAUCCAGUCUUGCCUCCCACCUCUGGCCUUCCCUUCUUCUGGAGCCAUUCUGCCAUGACCCUUAUUGUAGCAACUGCCUUCCCUCAAUUUGGUCCCAAUUCGGGUUGCAAGGAGAGCGCUCUAUGGAACAGUACUGGAAACUGAGAUGUUAUUUUGACUGUCAACUCUGAGCUGAACAAAACUUGAACUUUAUAACUAUAACUGAUAAAAACGCGAGCAGGCUCCCAGUACCAAAGUGAUUUCAGCAUUUAUUACAAGAAAAAGAAAGGCCCAAAGCAAGGGGGCCCGCGGGCCGAGCAGGAGCGUUCCCGUCGAGGAUGCUGCAGCGCCGGCGCUGGGGCUGCCUCAGCAGCGAUGGCCCCGAUGUCCCAGGUGGAGCGGCACAGAUUCAGUGGGUCAGAAGCCCCUUUCUAUCCUGUUUUUGUCCCUUUGGAUUGGUUUCUUUUUGGAUCCUUCAUUUGCAUGAAGGUUUAAGGUGCUUGAUUGGCCCAUGGCAGUUCUGUCCAGGCUGGCUGGUUUCCCUUGGGGGUGGUGCCCUUUACUGAGUGUGCUCUGGGAAUCCUGAACUUCAUGUGCCAGAGGAAUCUUUAACUUUGUGUGCCCCGGGACUCCUGAAUUUCGUGUCUCCCGAGAAUCCUGACUUUCGUGUGCCCCCAGAAUCCUGAAUUUCAUGUGCUCUGAGAUUCUUGAAUUCCGUGUGCCCUAGUAUCCUGAACCUCGUGUGCCCCAGGAAUCCUGAACUUCAUGUUCCCUGGGAAUCCUGAACUUCACCUGUCCCUGCCUUUCUCAGACACUGGCUGCCACUGUCCUGUCCUCACUGUUUUCUUCAUUACUGCUCUGCAUUUUCUCCACACCAUAGCCACCCCCUGCUGCCUUGCCUGCACGUCCCCACAGUUCCACCUCCCUCAAAACUCCUGAUACAUCUCAAACUUCUGAUACAUCUCAGUGUCCUGGGUUGCCAAGCACAUUGUGUUCUAUUUGCCAUCUGCAUGGCAGUAGUCUUCUGAUAAUUGGGCAGUUUUCCUUAUCUCUUCCACCACCACUCCUCCCUCCAGAGACAUCUGCUGAUAACAGGCCAUUGAAUGUCACUGCAUGGCUGAUAACAACUAUGGCAUCCCAUUGGGAGAUGCUCUUCCCAGAGGGAGGAGCCAAGCAUUCCUACCCGGAUAUAAUCUGGAGAUUCUGGAACAGCAGCACGGCUUCUCCACUGGAUUCCCAGAGGAACAGCAGCUGCCUCUUCCCCUGGAUCUUCAGAGGAAGAACACACCCUUCUACAGGAUCCCUGCUCCAGCAGAACCACCCCUGACACUCCAGGAGGGCUACAGCCACAAUUCCAACUGGACUGCUGCCAACACCCUGACCCACAGGGUGUCACGUUGUGUUCUGAUUCUGGCAGUGUGGGUUUAGUUUACGGCAUUGUUUAUUUUAUUUUCUUCCCUAAUAAAGAUCUGUAUCCCUGCUCCCAUA